rnacentral:rRNA from 1 species
CUGCCGGAGGCCACUGCUAUGGGGGUCCGACUAAGCCAUGCGAGUCAUGGGGCGCGCUCUGCGCGCACCGGCGGACGGCUCAGUAACACGUCGGUAACCUACCCUCGGGAGGGGGAUAACCCCGGGAAACUGGGGCUAAUCCCCCAUAGGCCUGAGGUACUGGAAGGUCCUCAGGCCGAAAGGGGCAUCUGCCCGCCCGAGGAUGGGCCGGCGGCCGAUUAGGUAGUUGGUGGGGUAACGGCCCACCAAGCCGAAGAUCGGUACGGGCCAUGAGAGUGGGAGCCCGGAGAUGGACACUGAGACACGGGUCCAGGCCCUACGGGGCGCAGCAGGCGCGAAACCUCCGCAAUGCGGGCAACCGCGACGGGGGGACCCCCAGUGCCGUGGCAUAGCCACGGCUUUUCCGGAGUGUAAAAAGCUCCGGGAAUAAGGGCUGGGCAAGGCCGGUGGCAGCCGCCGCGGUAAUACCGGCGGCCCGAGUGGUGGCCGCUAUUAUUGGGCCUAAAGCGUCCGUAGCCGGGCCCGUAAGUCCCUGGCGAAAUCCCACGGCUCAACCGUGGGGCUUGCUGGGGAUACUGCGGGCCUUGGGACCGGGAGAGGCCGGGGGUACCCCUGGGGUAGGGGUGAAAUCCUAUAAUCCCAGGGGGACCGCCAGUGGCGAAGGCGCCCGGCUGGAACGGGUCCGACGGUGAGGGACGAAGGCCAGGGGAGCGAACCGGAUUAGAUACCCGGGUAGUCCUGGCUGUAAAGGAUGCGGGCUAGGUGUCGGGCGAGCUUCGAGCUCGCCCGGUGCCGGAGGGAAGCCGUUAAGCCCGCCGCCUGGGGAGUACGGCCGCAAGGCUGAAACUUAAAGGAAUUGGCGGGGGAGCACUACAAGGGGUGGAGCGUGCGGUUUAAUUGGAUUCAACGCCGGGAACCUCACCG